UACGAAGGGGGCUAGCGUUGCUCGGAAUUACUGGGCGUUAAGGGCGCGUAGGCGGACAGUUUAGUCAGAGGUGAAAGCCCAGGGCUCAACCUUGGAAUUGCCUUUGAUACUGGCUGUCUUGAGUUCGGGAGAGGUGAGUGGAAUGCCGAGUGUAGAGGUGAAAUUCGUAGAUAUUCGGCGGAACACCAGUGGCGAAGGCGACUCACUGGCCCGAUACUGACGCUGAGGCGCGAAAGCGUGGGGAGCAAACAGG
rnacentral:rRNA from 1 species